AGAGUUUGAUCCUGGCUCAGAAUCAACGCUGGCGGCGUGCCUAACACAUGCAAGUCGCACGAGAAAGGGUAGCAAUACCUGAGUACAGUGGCGCACGGGUGAGUAACACGUGAAUUAUCUACCUCCGAGUGGGGAAUAACUGAGAGAAAUCUUAGCUAAUACCGCAUAACACUUACGAGUCAAAGCAGCAAUGCGCUUGGAGAGGAGUUCGCGGCCGAUUAGUUAGUUGGCGGGGUAAUGGCCCACCAAGACGAUGAUCGGUAUCCGGCCUGAGAGGGCGCACGGACACACUGGAACUGAAACACGGUCCAGACUCCUACGGGAGGCAGCAGUGGGGAAUUUUGCGCAAUGGGGGAAACCCUGACGCAGCAACGCCGCGUGGAGGAUGAAAUAUCUUGGUAUGUAAACUCCUUUCGAUGGGGAAGAUUAUGACGGACCCAUAGAAGA
rnacentral:rRNA from 1 species